rnacentral:rRNA from 1 species
AGAGUUUGAUCCUGGCUGAGAUUGAACGCUGGCGGCAGGCCUAACACAUGCAAGUCGAACGGUAACAGGAUGUGCUUGCACAUCGCUGACGAGUGGCGGACGGGUGAGUAAUGCUUGGGAACUUGCCUUUGCGAGGGGGAUAACAGUUGGAAACGACUGCUAAUACCGCAUAAUGUCUACGGACCAAACGGGGCUUAGGCUCCGGCGCAAAGAGAGGCCCAAGUGAGAUUAGCUAGAUGGUGAGGUAAAGGCUCACCAUGGCGACGAUCUCUAGCUGUUCUGAGAGGAAGAUCAGCCACACUGGGACUGAGACACGGCCCAGACUCCUACGGGAGGCAGCAGUGGGGAAUAUUGCACAAUGGGGGAAACCCUGAUGCAGCCAUGCCGCGUGUGUGAAGAAGGCCUUCGGGUUGUAAAGCACUUUCAGUUGUGAGGAAAGGGUGUUGGUUAAUACCCAAUAUCUGUGACGUUAACAACAGAAGAAGCACCGGCUAACUCCGUGCCAGCAGCCGCGGUAAU